UACCCAUAGUGAUGACACAUACUUGACAACUCCUUAAAUCUCUUCCAAAAUUGAUAUAAAGUCUCACUAUCCUUUUGUGCAAAUGUAGAGAUUUGUCUUUUUAAAGCA